UACGGAGGGUGCGAGCGUUGUCCGGAAUCAUUGGGCGUAAAGAGCGUGUAGGCGGUUUGGUAGGUCCGCUGUGAAAACUCGAGGCUCAACCUCGAGACGCCGGUGGAAACCAUCAGGCUAGAGUCCGGAAGAGGAGAGUGGAAUUCCUGGUGUAGCGGUGAAAUGCGCAGAUAUCAGGAAGAACACCCGUGGCUAAGGCGGCUCUCUAGUACGGUACUGACGCUGAGACGCGAAAGCGUGGGGAGCGAACAGG
rnacentral:rRNA from 1 species